CUUUCAACCAGCAUCAUUGGAGAAGCCAUGAUUGGUUUGUCUUCUACUGCCACCUGCUGCUCUGAAACAUCUAGAAGAUCAAAAUCACACUGCUUUCAUGCAAAACCAGUGUGUAUAAAAGGUGUGAAAACAAUAUGAAGUUUGAUCCCCGACGCCUUACGGGUGGACGCAUGGAGCAGCGACUGAUACGGCAACACUACCACCUGAGAAAGAGAGAGAAAGACUGAAUGCACAGGGUUGUAUAUGAG